GAUGGUGGUAUAUUUUGCAUAUUUGAAGAAUCCUUUCUGACUCUGCUCAGUUAUUUUAAAGUUUUCAUUAACGGUUUUCUAAAUACUGUGCAUUCACAUUCAAAUAAGAACUUUAAAUACUUCAAGAAACUGUUUCCUCACAGGCAAAUUACUAUUAGCAACAAGAAAUGGAAUAAAACAAAACAACAAAAAGAAAACAACCUUCCUGAGCCCAGCUCAGAUGUCGAAAAGCUGAGAAAGGGCUGCUGGGUAGAACAUGGCAGAGCUUCACACUUAAUCCUGAACUGAACACAGACAACUGGGAACAUCUGUUAUGCAUGAUUAAGAAAGGAGUGAAAUCUCCCAGGGAACUUCAUGCAAUUGAGUAUCUCCUUACAGAGCAAGAGAGCACAAGUCCCUGAGAUGGGAGACACCAGCAAGAAACUGGAAAUGCGAGGGAUGUCAGGUCCAAUGGCAGUGGAACACAAUGGCAGCAGAGGGACUCAGGCAAAUGUAGCUGCUCUUGAAUCCUACCCUAAGUUCUAAGGUGGCAACUUCAGGGGCAGCUAGAUCUGGAAGCAGAUCCAAGGGCGGCUUAGCCCAAAGAGAAAGUGCUACUGAGCACUGCAGUUCAGACAACCAGAGUACCCAUUGUCUGAAACAUCUUGUACCUUUGAAAUUAGGACUAAAGUUAAAAUAGGAGAGUUGGGUGAGCAAGAUGGCUCAGUAGGUAAAGGAACUUGCUGCUAAGCCUAACUACCUCAGUUCAAUCCUCAAAAAUCGCAUGGAAGGCAAGAGCCAACUCCUGCAUGUUGUUCUCUGACCACCACACACAUGGUAAGCACAUCUUCUCCCCAAUAAACACAUAAAUGUGGUUAAAUUUUUUUUAAUUUAAUGUAGACUUGAAAUAUGUUGUUGAAUUCUUUGAUAAACUUUCAGGAUACAUUAAAGAACAAAGUGGGUUGCUCUUCUAACAACAAACUCAUUCCCAGUUCUAUCUCAUUGUUUCCCUACCCCGCCCCUCCCAGCCUAGUCACUGUGGAAUGGCUUUAGUCAGAGCUGACAUGUUGUCAUAAUGCUCAGUCACUGAACAAACAUUUACAGAGUAGUUCUUUCCAGGCACUAACUGGGCAUGAAGGAAAAGGGAAUAAACACAAUGUCUACGCUCCCUAAGGUCUCAGCACAGCAGACAGGUACACACGCAUAGGAUGGCAGACCUGCCUGCCAUGUGCUGGGAUUAAAGGCAUACAACCAUCACACUGCCUCCUGGACAUUUUGAAAUGGAAUGAGGAGACACUUGGGUUGCAGGUAUGGACAUGGCUACCUCAGUGGAAAGAGAAACCGGCAACAUGGUAUGUGCAUGCAUGAUCCCAGCAGACACUCUCCUUGCUUUCCAACUGCUAAGUCCACCUGAUGUUUUCACCAGAGCUUGCCCAAGGAGAAAAUAAGCAUCAUCUGUUCUCAAAACAAAGUAAGGUUUUCCUCAAAAGAUAGAAUUUUUGUAAGAGAAUGGAAAAGCCCAAGGGUUUAAACUGGUGUUUUCAACAAAAAAGAAUCCUAUUGAAAUGAAUUUGAUUACUUUAAAACAAUCCUUUCACCAACUGUAGAAACAUAUGUCAUCUCCACUGACUCCCCAGCUACUUCCUCUUACUAAUUCCUCUAAGAAUUAUUUCCCAACUAACCUCACAAUAAACAGAAACUUUCAUUCUGCAUUUUAAUAUAGUCUAAGCACUAUUUACUUCUACAAACGUAAGCUUUAUGUGUAUGUGUUUACUAAACAAAAUUAAAAGCUAUUUCAGGGGCUGGAGAGAUGGCUCAGCAGUUAAGAGCACCCGACUACUCUUCCAGAGGUCCUGAGUUCAAUUCCCAGCAACCACAUGGUGGCUCACAACCAUCUGUCAUAAGAUCCGAUGCCCUCUUCUGGUGUAUCUGAAGACAGCUACAGUGUACUUAUAUAUAAUAAAUGAAUAAAUUAAAAAAAAAAAAACUUAGUUUAAAAGCUACUUCAGAAUAAAAUCAUGUCCUAGUUUUAUUCAUAUAAGAAUAUACAAGUAGCACCCAAUAAUUAAACUAUCAGCUUGGGGGGUUGGGGAUUUAGCUCAGUGAUAGAGCGCUUGCCUAGGAAGCGCAAGGCCCUGGGUUCGGUCCCCAGCUGUGAAAAAAAGAACCAAAUAAACUAUCAGCUUGGCCUCCAGAAAACCAAACAAGAUCCAAAGAUAACCCGAUACACUCUCUUCCCUUCAUUACCAUGUCAGCCAUCACUCACCGAGAACCAGCUGCACAAACACCUGCUUGUCCUCCUUCUCAAGAACUGCCCAGGUCUCCACACUGCCGCCUCAUUUCUCAUUCAAAGCAUAUAUAUUCAAAACAUUCAAAACUCAUGCAUCAUAUUUUAGGUCAUUCCAAACAGUCCUCAUGCCAUUACCUACACUAUAAAUUAAACUUUCACCACCAUCACUCAUAACCACCUUCGAUUUGGUCCAAUAGGAAGUGAAUACACAAAUGAGCCUCUGUACAGCACAAUAAGCAGCUGAAAAACUGUAACCGAGGAGGGUGAACAAAGCCAGCACUCUGUGGAUUCACUCUGGCUAGAUGCACCCAGCUAGAAUAGAGAGAGAAUCAAAUACGUGUUCAGGGUUCCAAUCAUGGAAAUUGGUUUGUCUACUGGAUUAAGUUAUGAAUAUAGAGCUUUACUUGUGAUGCUUUGUUAAAGCUAAAAUUAAAAAAAAAAAACUCUUUAAAAAAUUAUUUUUGGGGGUUGGGGAUUUAGCUCAGUGGUAGAGCGCUUGCCUAGGAAGCGCAAGGCCCUGGGUUCGGUCCCCAGCUCCGAAAAAAAGGACCAAAAAAAAAAAAUUAUUUUUGUUCUAAGAUUGAUUUAUUUACAUUUUAUGUGUAUGGCGUUUUGCCUGCAUGUGGCUCUGUACUACAUAACCGUAUGAGUUGCCUGUGGAGGCCAGAAGAGGGUAUUGGACCAAAAAACACAUUCUUUUUUUUUUUUUUUUUGGUUCAUUUUUUCGGAGCUGGGGACCGAACCCAGGGCCUUGCGCUUCCUAGGUAAGCGCUCUACCACUGAGCUAAAUCCCUAGCCCCGAAAAACACAUUCUUAAUGAAUUAUCUUACAAGCAUUUCAGAUAAUUUAUAGGAAGAGUUAACUUGUGAGGUUGGGCUGGAAAACAGGUACAAAAUGAUUGAGAUGAAAGAGAAGGAUCCCUGACCCUGCGUUUUCAGGUGUCCAAAUUUUCUUCUUUAAAAUUUUGUGUAUGUGUAUAGGUGUUCUGUCUGCAUGUAUGUGUAUCCUGUGUGCCUAGUGCCCUUGGAGGUCAGAAAAUGGCCUGCCUUUAAUUCCAGCACUGGCAGAUCUCUAUGAGUUUGAGGACAGCCCAGUCUAUAAACAGAGUUCCAAGAGAGUCAGUACUAUAUAGACCUGUCUCAAGAAGCAAACAAACAGGGGUGGAGAGAUGGCUCAAUGGUUAAGAGCACUGGUUGCUCCUUCAGAGGUCCUGAGUUCAAUUCCUAGCAACCAUAUAGUGGCUCACAACCAUCUGUAAUAGGAUCUGAUGCUCUCUUUGCCCUGUAGGCAGAUAUUUCAUAUAAUAAGAAAAUAAAUCUUAAAAAAAAUAAAUAAACAUGCAAACAAAACAGAUGGCCAUGUUGGGUUUGAAUCCCUGGGCCUGGAGUUACAGAUGCAAAAGAGGUGUGAGCUGCCAUUGUGGGUGCUGGAACUCAAACCAGGAACCUCUGGAAAAUUCAUUGAGACAUGAAUUUUCUUUCAAUCCAUGUGUGUGUGUGUGUGUGUGUGUGUGUGUGUGUGUGAAUGAAUGAUUGGUUCUGUUUUCCUAACAACUGACAAGGCCCUUUAUUCUUCCACAAGGUCUUAUUAUGUUGUCUAGGUUGAACCGAAUCUCAUGUAAUCCUUCUGCCUCAACCUCCCAAAUAUCUUAGUUUCAACACACCAGUCACCAGGCCUACCCUUUCCCUUAUUUAUUUUGUUUCUGAGAGUCUCACUCAAUAGUCCAGUUUGUUCUGAAACUCACAAUGUAGCCAAGGAUGUCUUUGAACUCAUAGCAAUCAAGAUCUGGCAUUACAGACCCAAGCCACCAUGCCCAUCUUUCCUGCUUUUUUCUCUCUUUCUUUACCAGCUUCUCUCCGAUGAUACUACUACCCAUUUAUCUGACUCUCUAUGUCUCACAAGGAUGAGAACAAUGCUAAUAAUAACUAAUUGGGGGGUGGGGCAAUGAAAAUAGCUCAGCCACUAGUAGGUUACCACGCUCCAAUGGAUAGCCUACACAGCAUAUAUAGGCAGAACUAACAGGAUGUGGUGGAAUUUUUUUUUUUUAAAGGAGGAUGAAGAGAAGGAAGAAGAGAAGAAAGAAAGAAAAAGAAAAAACAAACAAACAAACCACGGAGUUGGCAGGGGCCCAGGAA